UACGGGGGGGGCAAGCGUUGUUCGGAAUUACUGGGCGUAAAGGGCUCGUAGGGCGGCCAACUAAGUCAGACGUGAAAAUCCCUCGGCUUAACCGGGGAACAUGCGUCUGAUACUGGUUGGCUUGAGUGUGGGAGAGGGAGUAGGCGGAAUUCCAGGUGUAGCGGUGAAAUGCGUAGAUAUCUGGAAGGAACACCGGUGGCGAAGGCGGCAUCCUGGACCAUUACUGACGCUGAGGAGCGAAAGCCAGGGAGCAAACGGG
rnacentral:rRNA from 1 species